GGGCGGCAAGUUGUAGAAAUACAGCUUAGAGCGGNGGANUUGGUGAGUAAGGCGUGGUUGACNUACNUUGGGGAUGGGGAUAGCUGUUAGAAAUAGCGGGUAAUACCGAAUACGUUCAUUUUANUGUGGUAAGGUGAGCAAAGGGGAUACGGCCCCGCCUUAAGAUGGGCCCGCGUCCUAUUAGGUAGUUGGCGGGGUAAGAGCCCACCAAGCCCGUGAUAGGUAGCCGGCCUGAGAGGGUGAACGGCCACAUUGGGANUGAGAUACGGCCCAAAUUCCUACGGGAGGCAGCAGCUAAGAAUAUUCCGCAAUGGACGAAAGUCUGACGGAGCGACGCCGCGUGGAUGACGAAGGCCGGAAGGUUGUAAAAUCCUUUUGCCGCUGAAGAAUAAGCGNUUAGGGAAGGACCCCGUGAUGAUUUUAGAAGGNNCAUAANC
rnacentral:rRNA from 1 species